UACAGAGGUCUCAAGCGUUGUUCGGAUUCAUUGGGCGUAAAGGGUGUGUAGGUGGCGCUGUAAGUCGGGUGUGAAAUUUCGGAGCUUAACUCCGAAACUGCAUUCGAUACUGCGGUGCUUGAGGACUGGAGAGGAGACUGGAAUUCAUGGUGUAGCAGUGAAAUGCGUAGAGAUCAUGAGGAAGACCAGGGGCGAAGGCGGGUCUCUGGACAGUUCCUGACACUGAGACACGAAGGCCAGGGGAGCAAACGGG
rnacentral:rRNA from 1 species